UACCAGCUCUCCGAGUGGUGUGGAUGUUUAUUGGGCCUAAAGCAUCCGUAGCUGGCUGGGCAAGUCCCCUGUUAAAUCCACCGAUUUAAUCGUUGGUGUGCGGGGAUACUGUUCGGCUAGGGGACGGGAGAGGCCGACGGUAUUUUCGGGGUAGGGGUGAAAUCCUAUAAUCCCGGGAAGACCACCAGUGGCGAAGGCUGUCGGCUAGAACGCGCCCGACGGUGAGGGAUGAAAGCUGGGGGAGCGAACCGGAUUAGAUACCCGGGUAGUCCCAGCUGUAAGCGAUGCAGGCUAGGUGUUUGGGCGGCCACGUGCCGCUCUAGUGCCGCAGAGAAGUCGUUAAGCCUGCCGCCUGGGGAGUUCGGCCGCAAGGCUGAAACUUAAAGGAAUUGGCGGGGGAGCACCACAAGGGGUGAAGCUUGCGGUUU
rnacentral:rRNA from 1 species